rnacentral:rRNA from 2 species
UACUCCUACGGGAGGCAGCAGUAGGGAAUCUUCCACAAUGGGCGAAAGCCUGAUGGAGCAACGCCGCGUGUGUGAUGAAGGCUUUCGGGUCGUAAAGCACUGUUGUAUGGGAAGAACAGCUAGAAUAGGAAAUGAUUUUAGUUUGACGGUACCAUACCAGAAAGGGACGGCUAAAUACGUGCCAGCAGCCGCGGUAAUA